ensembl:snRNA U1 U1 spliceosomal RNA
AUGCUUUACCUGGCAGGUGAGAUACCAUGAUCAAAAGGUGUUUUCCCCAGGGUGAGGCUUAACCAUUGCACUCUGGAUAUGCUGACUGAAAAAUACCUCAAAUAAUGGAAGCUUGACUGCAGUAUAAGCAGUAGAAGGUACUGUGUUCUUAUUACCCCCUC